UACGUAGGGGGCAAGCGUUAUCCGGAUUUACUGGGUGUAAAGGGAGCGUAGACGGAGGAGCAAGUCUGAUGUGAAAAUCCGGGGCCCAACCCCGGAACUGCAUUGGAAACUGUUUAUCUAGAGUGUCGGAGAGGCAAGUGGAAUUCCUAGUGUAGCGGUGAAAUGCGUAGAUAUUAGGAGGAACACCAGUGGCGAAGGCGGCUUGCUGGACGAUGACUGACGUUGAGGCUCGAAAGCGUGGGGAGCAAACAGG
rnacentral:rRNA from 1 species